GCAUCAAGUAUGAAUUAUUAAUCUUUACGUGACAUGCCAUUUUCAACAAUAAGUAACACUGCUUCAUCGUACCAGGAGGUUUCGAAGGCACGCAAUGAUUGUGAAACAUGUGGAGAUACUUUCGAGUCAAGGAGCAAGUUGUUUUCUCAUUUGGAAGAAACAGGUCAUGCUGUGAUCAAGGCACGACAGAAAAAGCAUUAAGGCGAGGAAUAAUUAGAUAUUUUUUGUUUGAGCAUUCUCUCUCCCAGUUCUAGUUGGUGGUAGCAUGUCGAUAUCAGUGCUCUGCCAUUCUUGUAACAUGUCUUGUUUUGGGCGCCUCCAUGCACAUGAAGGUUUUGACCUGAAAUCAGUUUCCCUUCC